rnacentral:piRNA from 1 species
AGGGAAUGGGCACUGUUCAAAAA